AUUACUCUGGAGAGUCUUUACUGCGGAUGCAGUGAAGCGCCGAAGGUGUACGACGGAGAAAGCACUCCGUUAAUCUCUCAGGCAAAAGGACAGAAUAU
rnacentral:ncRNA from 1 species